rnacentral:tRNA from 1 species
GGCGCAUUCGUCUAGGGGUCUAGGACGCCGCCCUCUCACGGCGGAAACCCGGGUUCGAAUCCCGGAUGCGCUA